GCCGGGGUGGCGGAACGGUAGACGCGGCGGACUUAAAAUCCGCUACCUUCACAGGUGUGUGGGUUCGAAUCCCACCCCCGGCACCA
rnacentral:tRNA from 1 species